rnacentral:rRNA from 1 species
UACAGAGGUCCCAAGCGUUGUUCGGAUUCACUGGGCGUAAAGGGUGCGUAGGUGGCCAGGUAAGUUCGGUGUGAAAGCUCGGAGCUUAACUCCGAAAUGGCAUUGAAUACUAUCUGGCUAGAGGGUCGGAGGGGAGACUGGAAUUCUCGGUGUAGCAGUGAAAUGCGUAGAUAUCGAGAGGAACACCAGUGGUGAAGGCGAGUCUCUGGACGACUCCUGACACUGAGGCACGAAAGCCAGGGGAGCAAACAGG